GGGAUCUGUUCAUUUCUCAGUGAGGGAUCUGUUCAUUUCUGUGAGGGAUCUGUUCAUUUCUCAGUGAGGGAUCUGUUCAUUUCUCAGUGAGGGGAUCUGUUCAUUUCUCAGUGAGGGAUCUGUUCAUUUCUGUGAGGGGAUCUGUUCAUUUCUCAGUGAGGGGAUCUGUUCAUUUCUCAGUGAGGGAUCUGUUCAUUUCUGUGAGGGCUCUGUUCAUUUCUCAGUGAGGGCUCUGUUCAUUUCUNGAUAAUCCCUGCCCUGGAGGGAGAUGGAAUCAUCCCCCAGGUGAGACAGGGACCAAACCCGGGAUAAUCCCUGAUCUAGAGCAGGCUGGAAUCAUCCCCCAGGUGAGACAGGGACCAAACCCGGGGUAAUCCAUGCCCUGGAGGGAGAUGGAAUCGUCCCCCAGGUGAGACAGGGACCAAACCCAGGGUAAUUCC
rnacentral:lncRNA from 1 species